ACUGCUGUCUGUGAAUUUGGACGUGAUUCGGACUGCCUUCUGUCUUCAUGACCUUCUCAUCUGCACUUUGUUUUGUGCUAGUCUCAGGCUGAGACUGAAGAACUGGCUGGGCUUUAUCAACUUGUCAACAAACUGGACAUGGCGGC